UACGUAUGGGGCAAGCGUUACUCGGAAUUACUGGGCGUAAAGGGUGCGUAGGUGGUUCGUUAAGUCUGAUGUGAAAGCCCUGGGCUCAACCUGGGAAUUGCAUUGGAUACUGGCGGGCUAGAGUGCGGUAGAGGGUAGUGGAAUUCCCGGUGUAGCAGUGAAAUGCGUAGAUAUCGGGAGGAACAUCCGUGGCUAAGGCGACUGCCUGGACCAGCACUGACACUGAGGCACGAAAGCGUGGGGAGCAAACAGGAUUAGAUACCCCU
rnacentral:rRNA from 1 species